rnacentral:rRNA from 1 species
CCUACGGGGGGCUGCAGUGAGGAAUAUUGGUCAAUGGGCGUAAGCCUGAACCAGCCAAGUCGCGUGAGGGAUGAAGGUUCUAUGGAUCGUAAACCUCUUUUAUAAGGGAAUAAAGUGUGGGACGUGUCCUAUUUUGUAUGUACCUUAUGAAUAAAGAUCGGCUAACUCCGUGCCAGCAGCCGCGGUAAUACGGAGGAUCCGAGCGUUAUCCGGAUUUGUUGGGUUUAAGGGGUGCGUAGGCGGCCUUUUAAGUCAGCGGUGAAAGUCUGUGGCUCAACCAUAGAAUUGACGUUGAAACUGGGGGGCUGGAGUAUGUUUGAGGCAGGUGGAAUGCGUGGUGUAGCGGUGAAAUGCUUAGAUAUCACGCAGAACCCCGAUUGCGAAGGCAGCCUGCCAAGCCAUGACUGACGCUGAUGCACGAAAGCGUGGGGAUCAAACAGGAUUAGAUACCCGGGUAGUC